UGCAGACACCUGACAUUGGCCGCGC
rnacentral:miRNA from 1 species